GACGAACGCUGGCGGCGUGCCUAAUACAUGCAAGUCGAGCGGAUGAAAGAGGAGCUUGCUCCUCUAGAUUCAGCGGCGGACGGGUGAGUAACACGUGAGCAACCUGCCCUGUAGAUUGGGAUAACUCCGGGAAACCGGGGCUAAUACCGAAUAAUCCUUCGGACCUCAUGGUCCGAUGUUGAAAGACGGUUUCGGCUGUCACUACAGGAUGGGCCCGCGGCGCAUUAGCUAGUUGGUGAGGUAACGGCUCACCAAGGCCACGAUGCGUAGCCGACCUGAGAGGGUGAUCGGCCACACUGGGACUGAGACACGGCCCAGACUCCUACGGGAGGCAGCAGUAGGGAAUCUUCCACAAUGGACGAAAGUCUGAUGGAGCAACGCCGCGUGAGUGAAGAAGGUUCUCGGAUCGUAAAACUCUGUUGUGAGGGAAGAACAAGUACCGGAGUAACUGCCGGUGCCUUGACGGUACCUCAUUAGAAAGCCACGGCUAACUACGUGCCAGCCGCCGCGGUAAGAC
rnacentral:rRNA from 1 species